rnacentral:rRNA from 1 species
AUGGCGGCUUCCCAACCCAACAAACCAACGAUGAAGGAGGAUGGCGAAGAUGAGAUGGCCGGAUGGUGGGAGAAGGCUGCGAAGAAGCUUAGAGAGGAGGAUGCAGCCAAGCUAAAGAAGAAGAAGGAAGAGGAGCUUGAGAAGGAGAGGAAGCGAAAACAGAGUGCGGCAAAUGCGAUGCGCGCUAGGGAGCAAGCGUUGAUGAGGAAAGUUGAGGAGGCACAGAAGAAGCAUCAACAAGAUUUUGAAGAAAGAACCAUGAAGCUUUGGGCAAUUGCAGCUGAAAAAGAAAGGAGGGACAAUCAGAUAUUCAUGGAGAGGGUGGUUAAGGAGGCUCACCUCAUAAGAAAAAGGGAGGAGGAAGAGGAAGAAGAAGAAAGGAAAGGGGCCUUGCUCUACGCAAUAGAGCUAUGUCUCCUCUUCGAUUUGGUUGUGAACUACUAUGUCUCCAAUGUGAUUUGGUUGUGA